UCCACUCUUCAUCACCUUGUUUCUGUGAGCCAAACAGCACUUAAACAUGCCAACAACAUUCCCCUAUCCAACUACUACCUGUUCCGUACCCUCUUUCUAAGAUAUCCCAUUUAAACCCAAUCCUCACCUCAUCUUUCUUAUUGUUCACAGUGAUCUGGUCACUCAUCACGCCGAAUCCCAGCGAAUCCAACUCAUCGGAUCUUCUUCCUCCGUCUGCUCCUACUGUUCUCAGGCCUUGAUUCCUGGAAUAUCUUGUAAAGUCAGGCUUCAAAACUUUUCAAAGUAUAUUACUCUAACUUCUCUCCUCCUUUCAACCUCUUCUCUGUAUCCGCACUCAUAUAUUCACCCCAAUUCAAUCUCACCAAUCUUGCAGGCUGUCUAACCUCCACGCCUCCUGCCUCAUUUCCAGUCUUCUCGAAUCUAAUCCCCUAUCUUCUCCAAAAAAACUUAGACCAAAAAAUUGCCUCAUCUACCUCUGCAAUUUCUGUAAGCACAAAACGUUGUUCCCAGGAUCUUCUAUACACUCAAAAAAAAAUACACAUCCAUAUGCACAAAAACCAGGCCAUGUACAAAGAUACAAACAAACCAAGGAACAAAAACUCGCUACUAUGCUAUCUCAGAAUUCGGUUAAUCAAAAGAUACAGAACAAGGUCGCCCAAGUUAACCCAAAAUCUCCAAAUGCACUCAGCAAAAAAAAUAUAAACACAAAAAA